rnacentral:lncRNA from 1 species
AAAUAAGUAUCAAAAUAAGUUACUAGCAACACAAUACCCAAACAAGGUGCAGCUUUAAAAACAUAUAUAAAUGUUAUUAUGAAUAUUUUGAAUCACACAAGACGAAUUAAUACGUCAAACAGUUGUGUAAGUAAGUGUAUGGAAAGUUCGGCUUUAAGCUGACCUCCUCUUCUUUCCGUUUCGAAUAAUGGCUAUAAAUCCACUUUCCGCUGCUCCUUUGGAAUUUCCUGCUUAUGACGCCUGUUCCGGAAUUGCUGUGCGGUGAAAAAAGCAAGAAAAAUGCCUCCAUUGCAAAGGAUCCUGUGGCUGCGCGUCAUUUGUUUCCCGUUUGCCACCGCAGCACCGUGCGUUCAAUUGAAACAGAAAUUUAAGCUGAACAGAACUUGCAGUGCACAUUGAAUUCGCAUACUUAAUCCCACUAAAUAAAUAAAUUCAAAGAAACACACAUACACAGUGUCCAAAAGAACGAUAAAUAAACAUUGCUUGUAUGCAAUAUCACGACAUGUUAAUACAAUAUAUAAAAUAAACAAAGCCUUUGACUGG